ACAGUCGUGGCCGAGUGGUUAAGGCGAUGGACUAGAAAUUUUUUGGGGUCUCCCCGCACAGGUUCGAAUCCUGUCAACUGCG
rfam:Ixodes scapularis strain Wikel colony gcontig_1108379668878, whole genome shotgun sequence.